UAGUCAUAUGCUUGUCUCAAAGAUUAAGCCAUGCAUGUCUAAGUAUAAGCUUGUUUAUACGGCGAGACUGCGGAUGGCUCAUUAAAUCAGUUAUAGUUUAUUUGAUGGUCUCUUUUGUCUUUUUUUACCUACUUGGAUAACCGUGGUAAUUCUAGAGCUAAUACAUGCGCAAGGUCCCGAGCGCGGGGGGUGGGGCUUCACGGCUCCAUUCUCGCAUGCGCAGAGGGAUGUAUUUAUUAGGUUAAAAACCAGCGUAGUCAGCAAUGGCUACAAACUC
rnacentral:rRNA from 1 species